GUUAUUGCCAGGGUUUUUAUUUUAUACUUUAAGCUCUUAAUUUAUUUUUUAUGUUUUUAAAAUAUUCAUUUUUUUGAAUAUUUAAAAACAUAAAAAAUAAAUUAGAUAUUGACAUAGAUUAAACAAAAAUAUAUAUUAUUCUAUGUUGCAUAAACAAAUUGGCAAAGUAGAGAUGGAAGAUAAAAAUAUGGUCAAAGUAAUA
rnacentral:misc_RNA from 1 species